rnacentral:rRNA from 1 species
AUGUGCGUCCUAAAAGACUAAGGAGGUAUGGGGUUCCGAGAUAUCCACUGUUUUAAUCUGGCAUUGUUAGCCAAACAAGCAUGGCGUCUACUUGAUAAUCCUGAGUCUUUAUGUGCUACGAUCUUGAGAGCUAAAUAUUUUCUAGAUAGCGAUUUAAUGAGUGCAAAUCUAAAAGAGGGCUCCUCUUUUACUUGGCAAAGUAUCAUGGCGGGAGUG